rnacentral:misc_RNA from 1 species
AAUAUUUCAAAUGUCAGUCACUAGUUUUAAGUGAAAGUUUUCCACAAGCAGUCUGAGAUAACCAAGAAGAAAUGCAUAACAAAAAACAAAACCAAACCAAUAGCCUGAAACUUGCUAACUUCAACUAUGCAAGACAUCAAAAGAUACAAUUCAUCUUUAUACAUCAGAUUCAAAAUUUCAUGGUGAAAUUCAAAACUCUUGACAAAAGUCUACUAAGCUAUGCAGUGGGUGCAUAGGUGCAGCUGUCUAUCCGACAAC